rnacentral:rRNA from 1 species
UUUAACUGAGCGUUCAGUUACUUGACGUAGACCCGAAACCGGGCGACCUACCCAUGAGCAGGAUGAAGCGAAAGUAAAAUUUCGUGGAGGUCCGAACCCACGAGCGUUGAAAAGCUCGGGGAUGACUUGUGGGUAGCGGUGAAAUUCCAAUCGAGCCCGGAGAUAGCUGGUUCUCCCCGAAAUAGCUUUAGGGCUAGCCUCAAGGUGAGAGAUACGGAGGUAGAGCACUGAAUGUCCUAGGGGGUAUUGCACCUACCGAAGACUAUCAAACUCCGAAUGCCGUCAUCUUAUACUUGGGAGUCAGACUGUGGGUGAUAAGAUUCAUAGUCGAAAGGGCAACAGCCCAGAUCGUCAGCUAAGGUCCCUAAAUGUAAGUUAAGUGGUAAAGGAUGUGGGAUUGCACAGACAACCAGGAUGUUGGCUUAGAAGCAGCCACUCAUUCAAAGAGUGCGUAAUAGCUCACUGGUCGAGUGAUCCUGCGCCGAAGAUUUCCGGGGCUAAAACUUACUACCGAAGCUACGGCAUCAGUAAUGAUGGGUAGGGGAGCUUCCCAUACGGGUUGAAGCAUGACCGUAAGGACAUGUGGACAGUAUGGGAGUGAGAAUGUUGGCAUGAGUAGCGAGAUGUGGGUGAGAAUCCCACAGGCCGUAAACCCAAGGUUUCCAGGGGAAGGUUCGUCCGCCCUGGGUUAGUCGGGACCUAAGCUGAG